GAUGAACGCUAGCGGCAGGCCUAAUACAUGCAAGUCGAACGGUGUCUUCGGACAUAGUGGCGCACGGGUGCGUAACACGUAUGCAACCUACCUUACAUUGGGGGAUAGCCUUUCGAAAGGGAGAUUAAUACCGCAUAAGACAGUAGCUGGGCAUCCAGCAGCUGUUAAAGAUUUAUCGAUGUAAGAUGGGCAUGCGUCCAAUUAGGUAGUUGGUGAGGUAACGGCUCACAAAGGCAAUGAUUGGUAGGGGAACUGAGAGGUCAAUCCCCCACACUGGCACUGAGAUACGGGCCAGACUCCUACGGGAGGCAGCAGUAGGGAAUAUUGGGCAAUGGACGCAAGUCUGACCCAGCCAUGCCGCGUGCAGGAUGAAGGCGUUAUGCGUUGUAAACUGCUUUUAUACAGGAAGAAACGACCCUUGCGAGAGGCAUUGACGGUACUGUAUGAAUAAGCACCGGCUAACUCCGUGCCAGCAGCCGCGGUAAUAC
rnacentral:rRNA from 1 species